rnacentral:tRNA from 1 species
GGUUGUGGCUCAGAGGCAGAGCGCUCACCUAGCAUGCGUGAGGCACUGGGUUCAAUCCUCAGCACCA